GAGACACUCGCUACGCUUCCCUCUUCCCUCGCCCGAGAGCUGCCAAGGAGGGCCUGGGAGGGCCAGCGCUGGAGCAGCUGGAGUGUGGCACCCUGCCAAGCAAAGGCAGCAGCCAGAUAAUCACCAGUUCUCCACCCGGACCCACUACAGAAACAUUAAAAUGCUAUCUAGAUCUCAUUGUGAGCCACGGGAAGGCAUGUUUCCAUUGGCAACCAAGUUCCUCAACAUCACUGCACACUGGAGAGGAAAGAAACAGGACCGAUGAAAACACAAAGGUAAAGAAGCAGAGGUCCAGAGGAAAAAAGUGAUCUGCAUAAGUUCGUACACCUACUUUGUGACAUCACUGCAAUUAGAAAACAAGAUUUCAGGGUCCAUGUUGGUGCCAUUUCUAAUAUUUUCAAAAAUUCUAAUAAAUCCUAAGUCAA